rnacentral:lncRNA from 1 species
GGGGGGGGUGAGAGACUAUCAGGGUGAAGGGAGGAGGGGUCUACUUGCUGGUCACAGGAUCCAUGGUUUGGAUACAAACCUGGGGCUUUGUCAUAUUUGAUAAGAGACAGAAGUGCUUAGACAUGGACUGGAAUGCAGAGGAGGCAAGUUGGCGUUUUCGACUUAGCUAAAGUAUUCCCCAGCCAAAGGUCAGCCCGUGCUGCUCUGUGAUUUGUGUCACAAGGAGGUUGUGGAUAUAAUGGAAUACCAGCAGCAAGAAUGCGGCAAGGAGGUCAGAGUGCUGCUGUUAGGUGACACAGAGAUGGAUGCAAGAGACAACAUGCUCUGCAGAAAGAUAUUGGAUUAAAAGGCCAAAUUGACAGCUGCCAUAGAGUACAACACCCUUGUACCAGAUUCAGCAAUACCAUCGGCAGAUGAGAUCCUUUCCGCAGACCUUCAUGCAUGGCCUUGGGAGCUGCAUGGACAGGACCCGGUACUUCUCAGAUUUGACUUUGUUUGUUCCGGCAUCUAUCUGUCCAGAUCCGGUACCUCUCGCAGCAUGAAUUAUUAAUUGGUUCACUGUUCGUAUUGUAGACAUUCUAAUAAAAGUGAUCAGCAUUAAAU